UUGGGUAAAACAAGCUCAAGGAUUAUUGUUUUCCCUUUUUGUUUUUGUAACACUUUAAAUAAAAUUUUGUUUCUAAAGUAUAACUUUUUACGCCACACAUGCGAGAUGCGACAUGGCCCGCCAGUCUAGGUGCGCAAAAUUUUUGCACGUGGUCCGAGAACUUUGCCCAACACUGCUCUAAUUCAUAUUUUCAGCUUUGUUGAGAAAUAAAUUACUGAUUUUUGAAUAAUAUCUAUUUUGUUUUAAAAUUCAAUAGAAUUAUAUUGGGUAAUCAUAUAUAUUAAUAUGAUUUAUUUUCAGUAUGUAUGCUAUGUAAGCUUACCCAACCAACCUUAAUUAAGUGUUAUUAUAUUUUAAAGUGAAUUGGAAAGUAGACCGCUAGCAAAAAAGAUUCGGGCGAUUGGGGGGAAGCCCAUCUCUGUACAAUGACUGCCAAAUGUGCAUGCAACUGUGCAAUGCCCAGCGACUCUAAAAGCAUGAAGUAGGCUAUUGUACGACACAUCCUUUACAAAUAUUUGGACAUAUUUUGUGCCCUAUGACAAUGGACUGGAAAAUUCACCUGCUUCAAUUCCCUCUUUCACGCACUCAUACACUGUGUCAUUUCAAGCAUCUCAAUGUUUCAAUGCGGACAAUGCCCAAAACAGAGAUCAAGCCAUGCUCCAAUCCAGUCCAUGGAAAAAUUGUUGGGACAGGCGGUAGAAACUCUUAUGCUACAAGCUACGGCAUCUGCAACUUUCCACUGAUUAUAGUGUGGACUCGGACAUACAGGAAUUGAUGAAAUUCAUUGUCAGAUUACAUUUUGAUCCAGAAUAUUCAAGGAUGAAAAAAUGGCUCAUAAGAUAUUUGUCAAGUCUCGGAGGUUGCUCCAAGAAAGACUGGUUUGGAGAAUCAUGAGCUCGGUUAUAACAAAUUUACUCUCCCGCUCUUUCAACUGUGCAGGACGCGGUGGAUAAGAAGGAGUGAGUGGGACGCCCUUAGUUUCUGCUAUUAAAGCUCUGGAUGAUCUGGCAACGAACUACGAUUAAUUUUAUUACAUGUAUACAUAUUUGUAAAAUAAAGACAUUUUGUUAUCUUUUGUUUUUUAUUAUAUAAAUAAUGUUAGAUUAAUGGGAAAUUUCUAUG